UAUAAUUUAAAAUAGGAUCUGCCCACUGAAUAAUUUAAAGGGCCGCAGUAUUUUGACUGUGCAAAGGUAGCAUAAUCAGUAGUUUUUUAAUUGAAAGCUUGUAUGAAUGAUUUGAUGAGAAAAUAACUGUCUUUAUUUAAAAAAUAAAAUUUUAUUUUUAAGUUCAAAAGCUUAAAUAAUUUAAAAAGACGAGAAGACCCUAUAGAAUUUUAUUUUAAUUUAUUUAUUUAAUUUAAGUAUUAAUUAUUUUAUAAUUAAAUUAUAAUUUGGUUGGGGUGAUUUUAAAAUUUAAUAAACUUUUAAUUAAUUAAAACAAUAAUUUUUG
rnacentral:rRNA from 1 species